rnacentral:rRNA from 1 species
CCUACGGGAGACUGCAGUGGGGAAUAUUGCACAAUGGGGGAAACCCUGAUGCAGCGAUGCCGCGUGAGUGAAGAAGUAUUUCGGUAUGUAAAGCUCUAUCAGCAGGGAAGAAAAUGACGGUAUCCGAUUAAGAAGCCCUGGCUAACUACGUGCCAGCAGCCGCGGUCAUACGUCGGGGGCAAGCGUGAUCCGGAUUUACUGGGUGUAAAGGGAGCGUAGACGGCAGCACAAGUCUGGUGUGAAAUGCCGGGGCUUAACCCCGGAACUGCUUUUGAAACUGUGCAGCUAGAGUGCAGGAGAGGUGAGUGGAAUUCCUAGUGUAGCGGUGAAAUGCGUAGAGAGUAGGAGGAACACCAGUGGCGAAGGCGGCUUACUGGACUGUAACUGACGUUGAGGCUCGAAAGCGUGGGGAGCAAACAGGAUUAGAUACCCUUGUAGUC